AGCGAACGCUGGCGGCAGGCUUAACACAUGCAAGUCGAAGGUGAAGCCGGGCUUCGGCCCGGUGGAAACUGGCGCACGGGUGAGUAACGCGUGGGGAUAUGCCCAAGGGUACGGAAUAACCGCUGGAAACGGCGGCUAAUACCGUAUGUUCCCUCAGGGGGAAAGCUUCGGCGCCCUUGGAUUAUCCCGCGUCCGAUUAGCUUGUUGGUGAGGUAACGGCUCACCAAGGCUCCGAUCGGUAGCUGGUCUGAGAGGAUGAUCAGCCACACUGGGACUGAGACACGGCCCAGACUCCUACGGGAGGCAGCAGUGGGGAAUAUUGGACAAUGGGGGAAACCCUGAUCCAGCAAUGCCGCGUGUGUGAAGAAGGCCUGCGGGUUGUAAAGCACUUUCAGUUGAGAGGAAAGGCGUAUGGUUAAUACCCAUACGAGAUGACGUUACCUACAGAAGAAGCACCGGCUAGCUCUGUG
rnacentral:rRNA from 1 species